rnacentral:misc_RNA from 2 species
AACGCAUAUGGCACCUGCCAGCCCUGCUGGAAGGUAUGCCUGUUUGAGAAUCAUAUUCAUUCUUUGAUCCCAUUCACACUCGUGAUUGUGGUCGACAUGGGCCUUCACCACUGAUUGCCUCGAAUUGCUCGCGAUCGUCGUGUCAUGUCUAUUCGACAUUAUUGACGAUCACAACCACCCCCAAACAUGAUCUCAAAUCAGGCAAGACUACCCGCUGAACUUAA